CUAACGAAAUUGACGAUGGCACCUUGGAGAUAGGAAUGGAAUACAAAACUGUAUCUGGAGUUGCUGAACCAUUGGUCAUUCUUGAGAAAGUUAAGGGACCCAAAUAUCAAGAGAUUGUCAAUAUUCGUCUAGGAGAUGGAACUACUAGGCGUGGACAAGUUCUUGAGGUUGAUGGUGAAAAGGCUGUUGUUCAGGU